GCGCCGUCCGUUUCCAUCGACGAUGAAUGGCAUGCAUCAUCUGGUCCUCGCCGACGUGCAGGUGCUGGCUGUGCGUCCUCAGCGAGCAGCUAGGGCGUACUCAGUCCGAGUCGGCCAAAGCCGACAACAUCCGUAUCCAGGGAUAUCGAGAAGGGCAGGUUAGGGAUCUUCUUCGUGAAAAGAGUUCAUUUAAAAACCAACCGGACUAGGUUACAGUUCUUGAUGGAUCUCGGGAAGGUGCAUAUGAAUGGAUGUGAUGGUAGGGUGCUGACAUUGGAGGAACAAGCAAGCGAAUCGGGAACAAAUGAGGAAGUCAGACAAGUAAGAUGGAAGCCAGUUAGAUGAACCAUGUUAGAUGAACCUUGUUGUGUAUUUUAUCUAAUGGUCUCAAACCAUAUUGUUCAUGAUGUGGCGAUGAACACUGUUGGUCAUGGAAGUUAAUUAGAUGCA